rnacentral:rRNA from 1 species
GUGAACCAGUACCGUGAGGGAAAGGCGAAAAGAACCCCGGCGAGGGGAGUGAAAAAGAACCUGAAACCGUGUACGUACAAGCAGUGGGAGCCCCACCACUAAGCCAGUGGUGAACUCCACAUACGCAUCCUUUGCUGAGGAUACGGUUAACGGAGCGAAAGCGACGUUCAACCGCAAAAGAAGCAGAGGGGGCUUAGUGGUGGGGUGACUGCGUACCUUUUGUAUAAUGGGUCAGCGACUUAUAUUCUGUAGCAAGGUUAACCGUAUAGGGGAGCCGUAGGGAAACCGAGUCUUAACCGGGCGUUAAGUUGCAGGGUAUAGACCCGAAACCCGGUGAUCUAGCCAUGGGCAGGUUGAAGGUUGGGUAACACUAACUGGAGGACCGAACC